GUUCCGAGCAGGCAAGAGAACUGAGGCUUUCCGCUCCUUCGCACUCUCCCUCCUCCGCGUAGAUGUGAGGCCGGUGACCAGUGUCACCUGCUAGGGCGUCAACGCCACAGAGCUUCUGGAGAAAAGCCAGGGGAACAGAAGAAGUUUCUACAGACGCAGAAACGGCAGCCGAGGGGAAGGAGACCACCCUCCCGCUCCCCAGCUGCUCUCCUGGAGGGAACCGUGGUGAGCCCGCGGUCUGCGCGUCCUGGCUCCCCCCCCCACGCCUUGACCCCUUGGGGCCCAAGGCCUCUCUCUGCGAAGACUUCUCUGGCUUGUCCUGGCCCGAGAGACUCACUGAAUGUUUGCCGGACAGACUCCCACCUGCUUCCUUUCCAGCACCUCGGGGAGGGUGCCGUCUGGACCUGAGCCACGUCAGCCCAGGGGCGCUGGAGGGAUCAUGAAUGACAACCCGCAGCGGGGUCCGCGCCGUGCGCCGUGCAGGCUCAAAACCCCCGAGGCCGACGACGCGGCAGCGGCCCCUGGGCCCUGAUGCAGCGAUUUCAGAGGCCCCGCAAGAUCAACAGCUCAUCAUCAAGCCCCAGCUAAGGUAGGAGGCUCAUCGGGGAAGGAACCAGGCCUUUAAUCUGCUGUCUUCCUCCACCGAUUCCACCGAGCACAGCGCUCCGGGCUCGUACCCCACACAGGCCGCCUUCCUGCCUGGAGGAUGGAGGACGACCCGGGCUGGACCCAGCGGGCGGGCACCUUUGGCCCGUCCCCACGGCCCCCUGGGUACAGCUGUGUGCCACUGGGGGCUGCCAGAUGCCACGUGACCAUCCCCAGGUGCCGGUGACUCUAUCCGCCGGGUGUGCAGUGAGCCGCUCGCUCGGGUCUCCCUGCAGGCGGGCGGAUGGGGGGCCCCCUGGACGUUGCUCAAAGCUGGGGGUGGUCAAAGGAGAGGGGCCCUCGGCGGCCCCCAGUCCAGCCUUGGGUCUGAGCACCUGUCACCCGCUCUGUCCUCCAUCCUUGGCCACCACGUGUCAGGCGUGACGCGGCCCUGUCCCCACAGGGAGAUGGGCAGACGCUGCGGUCUGGGUGGCCCAUUCCCUGUCCUCCCCGCCCGCAGCGGGGCCGAUGAUGCCUCGGGACGCAG